UACGAAGGGGGCUAGCGUUGUUCGGAAUCACUGGGCGUAAAGCGCACGUAGGCGGAUCUUUAAGUCAGGGGUGAAAUCCUGGAGCUCAACUCCAGAACUGCCUUUGAUACUGGCGAGCUCGAGUCCGGGAGAGGUGAGUGGAACUGCGAGUGUAGAGGUGAAAUUCGUAGAUAUUCGCAAGAACACCAGUGGCGAAGGCGGCUCACUGGCCCGGUACUGACGCUGAGGCACGAAAGCGUGGGGAGCAAACAGG
rnacentral:rRNA from 1 species